UAAACGCCGCCAGAGGGGCCACUGAUCAGUAGGCAGUUACAUAAAAUAUGUGUGGAGGGGAGAUGUGCAUACAGGGCCCUGGCCUAGGAGUGCAGUCCUGCCAGAGGGCAGGACCGAGAUACUGCAGUCGCUGGGCUAGAACCAGAGAGAAAAGUUUUACCAUGCCCUGGAACAGAUCUGCUGCAGAAGUGUCUAGAAGAGAUACUAUGGAAUUUUUUUUUUCUUUCUGGCUAGCCACAGAACUCAGAACCACAAACAGUUAACUGAAUCCCAGCACCAGGCGACAGUUUGCAAAUAAGACCAAAGGAACGAUGUUCGCUCAGAUGAAAUCAGCUGUAUAGUUAUGCCCCCUGGGCCAGACAAGUUAAUGCUUGGCAAACUGCCCUCUCUGUGAAACAGCCCAGCAGGAGAUGAACCCCAUGGUGGGAAAAAAACAAUAAAAAAAAUUAUUAAUUGUUAAA